UACGGAGGGUGCGAGCGUUGUCCGGAAUCACUGGGCGUAAAGGGCGCGUAGGCGGCAGGCCAAGCGUGCGGUGAAAGUCCGGGGCUCAACCCCGGAUCUGCCGUGCGGACUGGUUUGCUAGAGCACUGUAGAGGCGAGUGGAAUUCCGGGUGUAGCGGUGGAAUGCGUAGAGAUCCGGAAGAACACCGGUGGCGAAGGCGGCUCGCUGGGCAGUGGCUGACGCUGAGGCGCGACAGCGUGGGGAGCAAACAGG
rnacentral:rRNA from 1 species